AAAUAGAACUUUGCAGAGAGAGUUAACAGGGCGUGAAACCGUUAAUUGGCAAACGAAUCGGAGCCACGAAGUCGUUUCGUCGUUGAGUCGGGAUCAAGUUCAGCGAGCAUUUGCCUAGAAAACAAGUGCGCGUGUACUCUUAAUCUGGCCAACUUUGUAAGCGUACACUGCAACUAGUUAGACGAUUGGCCAUGGGCACAGCGAGCGAGUCAAGCAAUUGACUUGUAAGCGAAGCGUUUGUUUGCUCGCGCUAGCAGUGGCGCAGCCAGUGCCUCGGCGCUGUGUUGUGUUGCUAAGCGUGCGGCAAGUGAACUAUGGUCAAAUACUGACUAGCGAAAUGAAAAUCGUUGCCUCGUGCAACGUUAGAGACAAAGCAACUUGCUAGACGCGCCUCUACGCGUGCCGACUGCCGGCUUCAAGUUCGGCGCUUUUGAAUUUAGACUUGCUUGCUACCAGUGGGGCAACUCCUGGUGCUUGUACAGCUUCUAUCUAAUCAAGCGUUGACUUAACCCUGCAUUGUUCGGUCGCGAACGAUUGGAUGGCACGUUCCACUAAGCAAGCUGUAAUUUGAAUUGGCAGUGAGUAGGUCGGCUUUCCGAACGACCCGUCUUGAAACACGGACCAAGGAGUCUAAUUAGGCAUCAGUCGAUCGGUCUUGAUAGGCCAGACAGUGGAUUUACUUUUGUAAUCCGCGCUUGAAGGCGUAGAGAAAUCAAAUCGUGUGAUCGUUGGGGCAACAACAGCCUCUUCGCGCAACAUGUGCCUGUUCGUGUAAUUGUGUUAGCAAUAACCAAUUGAGCGGAGCAAAGAGAUGCCUGAUUGGGACCCGAAAGAUGGUGAACUAUGCUUGGGCAAAUUGAAGCCAGAGGAAACUCUGGUGGAGGAUUGUAGCGAUUCUGACGUGCAAAUCGAUCGUCAGACCUGAGUAUAGGGGCGAAAGACUAAUCGAACCAUC
rnacentral:rRNA from 1 species